rnacentral:rRNA from 1 species
UACGUAGGGGCCAAGCGUUGUCCGGAAUUAUUGGGCGUAAAGAGCUCGUAGGCGGUCUGUCGCGUCGGCUGUGAAAACUCGGGGCUCAACUCCGAGCUUGCAGUCGAUACGGGCAGGCUAGAGUUCGGCAGGGGAGACUGGAAUUCCUGGUGUAGCGGUGAAAUGCGCAGAUAUCAGGAGGAACACCGGUGGCGAAGGCGGGUCUCUGGGCCGAUACUGACGCUGAGGAGCGAAAGCGUGGGGAGCGAACAGG